rnacentral:rRNA from 1 species
GACGAACGCUGGCGGCGUGCUUAACACAUGCAAGUCGAACGAAGUGGCGAACGGGUGAGUAACGCGUAAUCAACCUGCCCUUCAGAGGGGGACAACCGUUGGAACCGACUGCUAAUACCGCAUACUGAAGGAGGGGUUUGCGUCUGAUUAGCUAGUUGGAGGGGUAACGGCCCACAAAGGCGCUGAUCAGUAGCCGGUCUGAGAGGAUGAACGGCAACAUUGGGAAUGAGGCAAGGCCCAGAAUCCUACGGGAGGCAGCAGGGGGGAAUCUUCCGCAAUGGAGGAAAGUCUGACGGAGGAACGCCGCUUGAGUGAUGACGGCCUUCGGGUUGUAAAGCUCUGUUAAUCGGGACGCGGUACCGGAAUAGAAAGCAACGGCUAACUACGUGCCAGCAGCCGCGGUAAUUC